AUAUGUCCAUCAGCUUAAAGAAGACUGAAGCCGCCAGUGUCAGACCUCACGCUCCGCCUCUCAGUCAUUCAGACUGUUGGAUUGCCUCAAUGAAAAUACCUGAAAUAGCCAAACAAUUUAAAAAUAUUUCAAAGGUAACCUUCAUGUUCUAGUUCUCUUUCAGAAGUGGGGACAAAUACUCCAGAGAUCAUCACCACGCCUGUAAAAUGAUGAUUGUUUUUCUCUCAUAUAUAUCACCCUGUGCCUAUAAGUACUGACUUUCUAAUGUCAAUUGCGUCACUUGAACACGUGCC